GGAAGGCUGGUUCCUGAACCAACUCAUUCUGGGGGCAGUUAUUGUUCACAGCAGUCUCGAUUGAAGAAACCAGCAACCUUCUAAGAAAGAGCGUUAGAAAAGAAGAGGUCAUGUGAGCAUAUGGUGUGAUGACAGCCACCUCCAGGAGAGGCCUCAGAAUGAAACCCACCUUGCUAGCACCUUGAUCUUCGACUUCCCAGCCUCCAGAACUGUGAGAAAUCCAUGUCUGCUGUUUAAGUCACCCAGUCUAUGAUAUUUUGUUAUGGCAGCCUGAGUUGACUGAGACACAGGAUAUGGGGGUUCACAGAAUCCAGAGGAAGCUGUGGGGCUGGUUGGAAAACCAGCAGGAACAGAGGGAGCUCCAGAAGCCCAGCAGCCACAUUUGUACCAUUCCUGGGGCGCAAAGCACCAUUCCUACUGACCAGGAGUCAGCCGACUCUGGCCUGCUGGCCAAUUCUUGCCUGCCACAUGCUUUUGCAAAUAAAGUUUUAUCAGAA